rnacentral:rRNA from 1 species
UUGAACGCUGGCGGCAGGCCUAACACAUGCAAGUCGAGCGGAUGAAGGGGGCUUGCUCCUGGAUUCAGCGGCGGACGGGUGAGUAAUGCCUAGGAAUCUGCCUGGUAGUGGGGGAUAACGUCCGGAAACGGGCGCUAAUACCGCAUACGUCCUGAGGGAGAAAGUGGGGGAUCUUCGGACCUCACGCUAUCAGAUGAGCCUAGGUCGGAUUAGCUAGUUGGUGGGGUAAAGGCCUACCAAGGCGACGAUCCGUAACUGGUCUGAGAGGAUGAUCAGUCACACUGGAACUGAGACACGGUCCAGACUCCUACGGGAGGCAGCAGUGGGGAAUAUUGGACAAUGGGCGAAAGCCUGAUCCAGCCAUGCCGCGUGUGUGAAGAAGGUCUUCGGAUUGUAAAGCACUUUAAGUUGGGAGGAAGGGCAGUAAGUUAAUACCUUGCUGUUUUGACGUUACCAACAGAAUAAGCACCGGCUAACUUCGUG